GAUGAACGCUGGCGGCGUGCCUAAUACAUGCAAGUCGAGCGAACAGACGAGGAGCUUGCUCCUCUGACGUUAGUGGCGGACGGGUGAGUAACACGUGGAUAACCUACCUAUAAGACUGGGAUAACUUCGGGAAACCGGAGCUAAUACCGGAUAACAUGUUGAACCGCAUGGUUCAACAGUGAAAGACGGUCUUGCUGUCACUUAUAGAUGGAUCCGCGCCGCAUUAGCUAGUUGGUAAGGUAACGGCUUACCAAGGCAACGAUGCGUAGCCGACCUGAGAGGGUGAUCGGCCAAACUGGAACUGAGACACGGUCCAGACUCCUACGGGAGGAAGCAGUAGGGAAUCUUCCGCAAUGGGCGAAAGCCUGACGGAGCAACGCCGCGUGAGUGAAGAAGGUCUUCGGAUCGUAAAACUCUGUUAUUAGGGAAGAACAAAUGUGUAAGUAACUAUGCACGUCUUGACGGUACCUAAUCAGAAAGCCACAGCUAACUACGUG
rnacentral:rRNA from 1 species